UCCUCACAUCCAAUGCCUGUUGAACAGUACAAGAUUCAUCCUGGGUGACGUACUGGAAGCAAACUCAUGAAACCUGCUAAAGUGUAUUAAUCAACUCAAAGCCGCUGUUGAGAUUGUCCCGCUUGGGAUUCUACUAGUUUGACCUGCAAUAACAAGACUUGACCAAGAGCUGGGCACUUGAAAAUUGAUAACUAUCCCGUUGUGUCACAAUCAGUGACCAAAAAUCAGUCAUCAUCCAGAGAAGUUGGACAGAUGACCUUAAUAUAUAAAGAGAAAGUUCAUAUUGGAGCAAAAAAUAAGAAGUAUAUGCUCCAGGACCUGUGUGAAUCACAGCUGCCAGAAAACCAAGAAAGCAGAAAAGAUUCUCCUGAAAAAUAUCCUCAUUUGAAGGUAGCCUGUUUUAUACAUUCAUCUUGAAUUAUUUACUCCACACUGUAUCAUCUGUACAUUAUGGAUUA
rnacentral:lncRNA from 1 species